rnacentral:rRNA from 1 species
GACGAACGCUGGCGGCGUGCCUAAUACAUGCAAGUCGAACGCUGAAGGAGGAGCUUGCUCUUCUGGAUGAGUUGCGAACGGGUGAGUAACGCGUAGGUAACCUGCCUGGUAGCGGGGGAUAACUAUUGGAAACGAUAGCUAAUACCGCAUAACAGUAGAUGUUGCAUGACAUUUGCUUAAAAGGUGCAAUUGCACCACUACCAGAUGGACCUGCGUUGUAUUAGCUAGUUGGUGGGGUAACGGCUCACCAAGGCGACGAUACAUAGCCGACCUGAGAGGGGGAUCGGCCACACUGGGACUGAGACACGGCCCAGACUCCUACGGGAGGCAGCAGGAGGGAAACUUCGGCAAUGGGCGGAAGUCUGACCGAGCAACGCCGCGUGAGUGAAGAAGGGUUUCGGAUCGUAAAGCUCUGUUGUAAGAGAAGAACGAGUGUGAGAGUGGAAAGUUCACACUGUGACGGUAUCUUACCAGAAAGAGACGGCUAACUACGUG